GUCUGCAGUCUUGUGGUUGUGGGCAUAUUGGGGGUGGUGGUCUUGACGAUGGUGGUUUGAGCGCUGGUCUUGGCGCUGGCGUUGGUGGCGGUUGCGUGGUCAGGGUGGUUUGGGCUGUGGCUGGUCCGGCGUUAGCUUCCGGGUACGGCGCGAAUGCCUACUUCUUAGAGGGACAAGCGGGAGAAGCCGCACGAAAUAGAGCAAUAACAGGUCUGUGAUGCCCUUAGAUGUCCGGGGCCGCACGCGCGCUACAAUGACGGUGGCAACGAGUCAGACCUUCUGGCCCGAAAGGGUUGGACAAACUGGUCAAUCACCGUCAUGACAGGGAUCGGGGCUUGGAAUUGUUCCCCGUGAACGAGGAAUUCCUAGUAAGUGCAAGUCAUAAGCUUGCGCUGAUUACGUCCCUGCCCUUUGUACACACCGCCCGUCGCUACUACCGAUUGAAUGGUUUAGUAAGGUCCUUGGAUUGGUGCCAUUGUGGUGGUCGUCGCCGCCGAAAGGUGGCGGCCCACCGACAGGUGCCGAGAAGACGACCGAACUUGAUCAUUUAGAGGAAGUAAAAGUCGUAACAAGGUUUCCGUAGGUGAACCUGCGGAAGGAUCAUUA
rnacentral:ncRNA from 1 species